rnacentral:rRNA from 1 species
UAACGGAGUGCUAAUACCGAAUAACACGGCCCGGCCUCAUGGUCGGGACGUCAAAGCUGGCCUCUACAUGUAAGCUAGCACUUGAGGAUGGUCCCGCGCCCCAUUAGCUUGUUGGUGAGGUAAAGGCUCACCAAGGCUACGAUGGGUAGCUGGUCUGAGAGGAUGGUCAGCCACACUGGGACUGAGAUACGGCCCAGACUCCUACGGGAGGCAGCAGUCGAGAGGCUUCGGCAAUGGGCGAAAGCCUGACCGAGCGACGCCGCGUGGGCGAUGAAGGUCUUACGAUCGUAAAGCCCUGUCAGAGGGGAAGAAACCCCGGGGUGCUAAUACCACCACGGAUUGACGUUACCCUCAAAGGAAGCUCCGGCUAACUCCGUGCCAGCAGCCGCGGUAACACGGGGGGAGCGAACGUUGUUCGGAAUUACUGGGCGUAAGGGGCGCGCAGGCGGCUCGAUUAGUGAGGCGUGAAAGACCCUGGCUCAACCAGGGAAAUGCGUCUCAUACUGCCGGGCUUGAGGACGGGAGAGGAAACGGGAAUUCCCGGUGUAGCGGUGAAAUGCACUGAUAUCGGGAGGAACACCAGUGGCGAAGGCGCGUUUC